UUAGGGAUCUUGCGCAAUGGGCUAACGCCUGACGCAGCGACGCCGCGUGAGGGAGGACGGCCCUCGGGUUGUAAACCUCUUUUCCCGGGGACGAGGAUGGACGGUACCCGGGGAAUAAGCACCGGCUAACCCCGUGCCAGCAGCCGCGGUAAUACGGGGGGUGCGAGCGUUGUCCGGAUUCACUGGGCGUAAAGGGCGCGUAGGCGGCCGAAUCAGUCGGGCUUGUAAGAGCGGGGCUCACCCCCGUAUUUGGGUCCGGGACGGUUUGGCUAGGGCGCGGUAGAGGGGGACGGAAUGCCGGGUGUAGUGGUGAAAUGCGUAGAGAUCCGGCGGAACACCGGUGGCGCAGGCGGUCCCCUGGGCCGAGGCCGACGCUGAGGCGCGAGAGCGUGGGGAGCGAACCGGAUUAGAUACCCCCGUAGUCC
rnacentral:rRNA from 1 species